rnacentral:rRNA from 1 species
GCUUACGGCCAUACCACCUUAGGCACGCCCGAUCUCGUCUGAUCUCGGAAGCUAAGCAGGGUCGGGCCGGGUUAGUACUUGGAUGGGUGACCGCCUGGGAAUACCAGGUGCUGUAAGCA